AUGCACGCUAGCGGGAGGCCUAACACAUGCCAGCCGAGCGGUAGAGUCUCUUCGGAGACUUGAGAGCGGCGCACGGGUGCGGAACACGUGUGCAACCUGCCUUUAUCUGGGGGAUAGCCUUUCGAAGGGAAGAUUAAUACCCCAUAAUAUACUGGAUGGCAUCAUCUGGUAUUGAAAACUCCGGUGGAUAGAGAUGGGCACGCGCAAGAUUAGAUAGUUGGUGAGGUAACGGCUCACCAAGUCAGCGAUCUUUAGGGGGCCUGAGAGGGUGAUCCCCCACACUGGUACUGAGACACGGACCAGACUCCUACGGGAGGCAGCAGUGAGGAAUAUUGGACAAUGGGUGAGAGCCUGAUCCAGCCAUCCCGCGUGAAGGACGACGGCCCUAUGGGUUGUAAACUUCUUUUGUAUAGGGAUAAACCUAGAUACGUGUAUCUAGCUGAAGGUACUAUACGAAUAAGCACCGGCUAACUCCGUG
rnacentral:rRNA from 1 species